UGGGGAAUUUUCCGCAAUGGGCGAAAGCCUGACGGAGCAAUGCCGCGUGGAGGUGGAAGGCCUACGGGUCGUCAACUUCUUUUCUCGGAGAAGAAACAAUGACGGUAUCUGUGGAAUAAGCAUCGGCUAACUCUGUGACAG
rnacentral:rRNA from 1 species